rnacentral:hammerhead_ribozyme from 1 species
GUCCAGGUGACGAGUCCUAAAUAGGACGAAAUGCGCAUCCUGGAU